ensembl:lncRNA
CUUCUUAAUUACUUACAUUGUUUAUUUUAAUGUAGCUUACAGCUUUCAUUUUUAAACCAGAAAUGGAAGGACAUAGUUUCUCUCAAGACAGCAGGUUUGUGUUUUUAAAAGAUUUUAAAUUAAUACAUGUAUUUACUCACUGUAGCAGAAAUGCUAAGUAAGUCACAGUCUGAACCAGUGACUGAGCACCCAGUGGGAAGGCAGGGCCAACACAGGGGAGCUCAGGUGCAUGCAAUGUACCUGAGUGAGCAGAAGGGGUGGAGCCAGGAUCCACCCCUUCCCAAACCUCAUUUAAGGGUUGGCAGUGGAGGUAGGGAUUUUUUGCUGGAGAUCCCUGCCUCCCAGAGGUCUUCUGAAGGUAGCAUUUUUGGAGAGCCAGGUGUUACACUCUUUCCAGGAAUCAGUCUUCCUGAGAGAGUGGGCUCCAUUAUGUUCAGGAACAGAAUGAAAAUGAAACUCAUCAUUAGUCGGGUUGACUCAGUGUCUGAAUACACAUUGUACCAUGAGGAUCCUCUUACCCUGAGCCAAAGACUGUCAAAGUCAAUUCCAACAGCUGAUGAGGCCCUUCAGAUCAGGAACAAUGUUCAGUGUACCUACAGCUCCUAUUUCCAUUCAGCAAAGACUCAAUUUGCAAUUCAUCAGAAAAAGUUCAUGGAGUUUUGGACCAAUAUCACUGUAAAACUUCCAGGGUCUAACAAUGAUGAAACUCUCAGACCUCCAUCCUAUUGUUUUACUGUUCCUAAAUGAACAGUCCCAUUUACUACAAGUCUGUGAAAGAGUGUCAGGCUGCUUAAUGCCUGGGAACAAAAAAGAUGAAGUAGGGGGCAAUUAACAAAAUCAAAGAAUGUCAUAUUGCCUUGGUUUUUACUUUAUCUCACUGCUACCAGCUCUUUGUAAACCUUGAUUAGGCAGACAGCAUGUUCCUACAUGAGAAAGCAGGUUUUUUUUUUAAUUAAACACAUUCCUUUUUCAUAGUCUGCUGCAAAUUACAGCAUUGUUCAUUCUCUUUUAUGCUGAACUUAUCUCUUUUUUCAAUCAAGAGCUUUUCUUCUCAAAUUCAUAAUGUUCUCUGUAGUAUUUACCUUGUGCUGGUUGACAAGAUCAGUGUCAUAUUAAGGUUCCUUAGAUGUCCAUACGAACUCCAGUUUUGGUUAGAUUUCACAUCAGUACCCUGGCCAUUUUGCUCUUCAGUUACUGCAACAAGGUGUAUGGCCAACGGGGUACUGUGGGAAAUAUACACUAAUUAUUACCCACAGUGGUUUUUCAGACUCGAUUCAGUUUGAGUGUUUGCUUUACGAACUAGAGAAGUUUUGACAAAGCAAACAGAUCACUUGGUAUAUUUCCUGUCUUUGUUACUUUGCGGAAUCAAAUUUCUAUUGUCCAGGCUCAUUUCAAUGCACGUGCCAUUUUAAAACUGAUGUUCAUCACACUGAUACUCAGCAGAAACUUGUGAAGCGUGUCUAUGAGGAAAAUGCUCUAGCCACCAAAUAAAUUCACUAUCAAGUGUGCAGGCUAAUGUCAGAGGAGGGAUGCCCUAAGAUUUGUGCCCUCAGUGGAGACUCUCAAACCUUGGAAGAAGUGUCAGGGCUUCCAUAGAGGUCCCCUAUUGGAUUGGGGGAUGUUGGAAGUUGUUCCUAAAGAACAUGUGUGAAAUGUGAGCAGUUUUUAAUCAGGGCAAUCUUGUAAUAUAAACAAGGGUGAAAAUAAAGUUGAGUAAUAUUUAUUACUCUGCCCUUCUAUACAGUAUGCCCCGCAGUCUCUGCUAUCUGUACUCUGGUUGUUGAGUGGGGACAACUUUAUUAAACAUAAG